rnacentral:rRNA from 1 species
CUACGCACUCCUACGGGAGGCAGCAGUGGGGAAUAUUGCACAAUGGGCGCAAGCCUGAUGCAGCCAUGCCGCGUGUAUGAAGAAGGCCUUCGGGUUGUAAAGUACUUUCAGCAGUGAGGAAGGUGGGUAUGUUAAUAGCAUACUCAUUUGACGUUAGCUGCAGAAGAAGCACCGGCUAACUCCGUGCCCAGCAGCCGCGGUAAUACGGAGGGUGCGAGCGUUAAUCGGAAUUACUGGGCGUAAAGCGCAUGCAGGUGGUUUGUUAAGUCAGAUGUGAAAGCCCGGGGCUCAACCUCGGAAUUGCAUUUGAAACUGGCAAACUAGAGUACUGUAGAGGGGGUAGAAUUUCAGGUGUAGCGGUGAAAUGCGUAGAGAUCUGAAGGAAUACCGGUGGCGAAGGCGGCCCCCUGGACAGAUACUGACACUCAGAUGCGAAAGCGUGGGGAGCAAACAGGAUUAGAUACCCUGGUAG